rnacentral:ncRNA from 1 species
AAGAUAGAGGUUGCGUUUUUCAUCAGUAGACUGUCUGAUAUUUCAGGAAUAGGUAAGGGCAGUUGAAAGGGAAUGACGCCGAAGGAUCAUAGUGCCUGAGACUUAUGAUUCUGGGCAUGCAGUUAAAAGCUGCAUGACUGCCGACGGUUAUCCGGCGGAGCGCUAUCU